UGGAUUAGGCAUGCAAGUCGAACGAGAAAGCACCCUUCGGGGUGUUAGUAAAGUGGCGAACGGGUGAGUAACGCGUGGGAAACCUGCUUUCGGGUGGGGGAUAACAGCUCUAACGGGCUGCUAAUACCGCAUGAUGCCCUUGAACGCAUGUUCAAGGGUUAAAGGGGGCCUCUGUUUCAUGCUUCCGCCGGGAAAUGGUCCCGCGUCCUAUUAGCUUGUUGGUGAGGUAACGGCUCACCAAGGCAACGAUGGGUAGCCGGCUUGAGAGAGUGGUCGGCCACACUGGGACUGAGAUACGGCCCAGACUCCUACGGGAGGCAGCAGUCGAGAGGCUUCGGCAAUGGGGGAAACCCUGACCGAGCGACGUCGCGUGGGUGAUGAAGGUCUUUGGACCGUAAAACCCUGUCAGGUGGGAUGAAACACCAUUCGGCUAAUACCUGAGUGGCUUGACAGUACCACCAGAGGAAGCUCCGGCUAACUCCGUGCCAGCAGCCGCGGUAACACGGGGGGAGCAAGCGUUGUUCGGAUUCAUUGGGCGUAAAGAGCUCGUAGGCGGCUCCGUAAGUCGAGGGUGAAAUACAACGGCUCAACCGUUGACCCGCCUUCGAAACUACGGAGCUUGAGGUCGGGAGAGGAAAGCGGAAUUCCUGGAGUAGCGGUGAAAUGCGUAGAUAUCAGGAAGAACACCGGUGGCGAAGGCGGCUUUCUGGACCGACUCUGACGCUGAGGAGCGAAAGCUAGGGGAGCAAACAGGAUUAGAUACCCUGGUAGUCCUAGCCGUAAACGAUGGGCACUAGGUGUGGGAGGAUCGACCCCUUCCGUGCCGCCGUUAACGCAUUAAGUGCCCCGCCUGGGGAGUACGA
rnacentral:rRNA from 1 species